GACGAACGCUGGCGGCGCGCUUAACACAUGCAAGUCGAGCGAGAACCAGUCCUUCGGGGCUGGGGACAGCGGCGAACGGGUGAGUAACACGUGGGUAAUCUGCCCUCGGCACCGGAAUAGCCCGGGGAAACCCGGAUUAAUGCCGGAUGGCCUCGCUGCCCCUCGGGGCGGUGAGAAAAGGUAGCUUCGGCCUCCGGCCGAGGAGGAGCCCGCGGCCGAUUAGCUUGUUGGGGAGGUAACGGCUCACCAAGGCGACGAUCGGUAGCUGGUCUGAGAGGACGAUCAGCCACACUGGGACUGAGACACGGCCCAGACUCCUACGGGAGGCAGCAGUGGGGAAUCUUGCGCAAUGGGCGAAAGCCUGACGCAGCGACGCCGCGUGCGGGAAGAAGGCCUUCGGGUUGUAAACCGCUUUCAGGAGGGACGAAGCCACUCGGGUAAAUAGCCUAGAGGGUGACGGUACCUCCAGAAGAAGCCCCGGCUAACUACGUGCCAGCCGCCGCCGUAACAC
rnacentral:rRNA from 1 species